UUUAUCAGAUGAUGAUAAAAAAAAUAUAAUCUUAGGACACCUUCUUACAUGACUACAAAGCUGUGGAUGAGAGAGAGUGAAUUCUGAUGAUGAU
rfam:Picea glauca, whole genome shotgun sequence.